rnacentral:rRNA from 1 species
UACAGAGGUCUCAAGCGUUGUUCGGAUUCAUUGGGCGUAAAGGGCGCGUAGGCGGCGGGGUAAGUCGGGGUGUGAAAUCUCAGAGCUCAACUCUGAAACUGCACUCGAUACUGCUUUGCUAGAGGACUGGAGAGGAGAUUGGAAUUCACGGUGUAGCAGUGAAAUGCGUAGAGAUCGUGAGGAAGACCAGUGGCGAAGGCGGGUCUCU